rnacentral:rRNA from 1 species
AACGAACGCUGGCGGCAGGCUUAACACAUGCAAGUCGAACGCGAAAUCACCUUCGGGUGGUGGAGAGUGGCAGACGGGUGAGUAACGCGUGGGAAUCUACCUGAUGGUACGGAAUAACUCAGGGAAACUUGAGCUAAUACCGUAUGUGCCCGAAGGGGGAAAGAUUUAUCGCCAUCAGAUGAGCCCGCGUCGGAUUAGCUAGUUGGUGGGGUAACGGCCCACCAAGGCGACGAUCCGUAGCUGGUCUAAGAGGAUGAUCAGCCACCCUGGGACUGAGACACGGCCCAGACUCCUACGGGAGGCAGCAGUGGGGAAUAUUGGACAAUGGGCGCAAGCCUGAUCCAGCCAUGCCGCGUGAGUGAUGAAGGCCCUAGGGUUGUAAAGCUCUUUCGGCGGGGACGAUAAUGACGGUACCCGCAGAAGAAGCCCCGGCUAACUUCGUGCCAGCCGCCGCGGUAA